rnacentral:piRNA from 1 species
GAGGAGAUGAAGGUGAAGCUGCUGGAG